CUUGUGUGGAAAGGAAACAAGACUGACAGUUUGUAGGGGAAGGGCCCAACUGGGAGUGGCAGUUGGGUCUUGUGACUAGCACUUCCUUCCUGCCAAGUGGAACUGGCUUCCUGGUGUUGGAGGAGAGAGGAGCUUGUUCAGCCCAGUCUGGUGUGGUGUGCCUCUUUCUUUCUUGGUUCAGCCUGAAGAUUCAAGUCCAAUCUCUUCUGAAGAUUAGGAAACUGAAGCAAACAUUUACUGACUUGCUCAAGAUCACACAACUAGUAAGUGUCUAAGGUUGGUUUUGAACUGAGGUCUUCCUGAUUCCUGCCUCAGUAUUCUAUGCACUGCACUACCUUGC
rnacentral:lncRNA from 1 species